rnacentral:lncRNA from 1 species
UCUGGUAUUUCUUGAGGCAAUGGAACAGUAACCACCGGAGGAUUCAAUGGAACAGUAGUACCUACCAUCUGCACAGUAUUAACUGCAUUUCAGAAGACUAAAUCACUCGCAUAAAUUGGAACUAGUUCCUUUCUUGGGCGACCUCUCCUCUUUGCCAUAACUAAUUCUGCUAGGUUUACUUACCUUAGCAGCUGCAAUGGAGAAGAAGAAGACGAUGAAACAGUGUAGAAGAUGAAGAAAAGUAGAGAGAAGGCGGAGCUUCUCUCUCUAAGCCAUUUCGUUUGGAU